UACGUAGGGGGGCAAGCGUUGUCCGGAUUUAUUGGGCGUAAAGAGCGUGUAGGCGGCUUUACAGGUCCGUUGUGAAAACUCGAGGCUCAACCUCGAGACGCCGGUGGAAACCGUAAAGCUAGAGUCCGGAAGAGGAGAGUGGAAUUCCUGGUGUAGCGGUGAAAUGCGCAGAUAUCAGGAGGAACACCAAUGGCGAAGGCAGCUCACUGGGACGGUAUUGACGCUGGAGACGCGAAAGCGUGGGAGCAAACAGG
rnacentral:rRNA from 1 species